AGCAGUCGCCGCGGUAAUACGGAGGGUGCAAGCGUUAUCCGGAUUUAUUGGGUUUAAAGGGUCCGUAGGCGGAUCUGUAAGUCAGUGGUGAAAUCUCACAGCUUAACUGUGAAACUGCCAUUGAUACUGCAGGUCUUGAGUAAAUUUGAAGUGGCUGGAAUAAGUAGUGUAGCGGUGAAAUGCAUAGAUAUUACUUAGAACACCAAUUGCGAAGGCAGGUCACUAAGAUUUAACUGACGCUGAUGGACGAAAGCGUGGGGAGCGAACAGGAUUAGAUACCCCUGUAGUCCCUGUCUCUUAUAC
rnacentral:rRNA from 1 species